rnacentral:misc_RNA from 1 species
AAGACUAUAGACCUGCGGAGUACCUGCGGAAGGAUCAUUACAUGGCGGAGGAGGUGGGCACCUAGUAAAAUCAAAAACCCUAGGUGUGUUGCCUACCACGCUUUCUACCCUUGUCUAUUUGCACCUUUUUGUCGUUCCCUCGGUGGGUCUUGAACCUGCCGGCGGCAACUUUCAAAACCUUCUUUGCAGUUAGUAUCUAAUUCUUCUGAUUAAACUAUUCAAUCGUUACAACUUUUAACA